ensembl:lncRNA
GUCCAAAAUUACUUUUUAUUAGCUUCCAUUACAAGGUAAGAGUGUUUUUUCCCCCUUUUCCUGUAAAGUUACUGUGUUUCCACAAUAAAUCCUGAAUGCUUUAUAUUGUUUCAGAACAUAGACAGUUUCUGUCUAUUACAAUAAAGUUUCAAUCGCAUUUGUCACGAUUGGCCCCUCCCAGUCUCCUCAUGUGCUUGUGUUUACCUUUGUCCUGUCCAUGUGCUCGUGUUUACUGCCUGAUCUUCCAUGUGCCAUUUGUUUUGGUUUUGUAGUCCAGCCCCCUCGUUUCGUGACUCCACCCCUGAUUGUUUCCACCUGUGUUCCCGCCUGUCCCUCGUUUACCCUGUGAUCAUACCCUGUGUUUGCCUCUAGUUGUUGCUGGUCUUUGUUGUUUGUAAUGUUGGGAUGUUUGGUCAUCCUUGUUUGAUUCUGGUCUGUCUGUCCCUCCUGCUCUCGGUGUUGGCUGUUUGACGCUGGACCAUUGUGACUUUGACCCUGGAUUUGCCCCUAAUAGAAGUUGCUUAUUUCGGUGUAUGCGUCCGCCUCCUUGCUCCCAACCGCCACAGCACUCAGGGACCUGCAGUUCAAACAUUUUAGCUACUUCUACCUGGAAUUCUAUUGUGUUUAAAGUGUACUUACUGUUAUUUCUUGCAACAAAAUCAGUGAACUUGAAACUCCACCAGAAUUAAAGGUUAAUCAUACUUGACACAAAGCAUGAAAAGCUGAACAGAGAGAGAUGAGUGUCACAGAGGACAGGUUAUUGGAUGAAAUCUCUCAUUUAAGUGAGUAUCCUUUUGCUAGAGUUGUUUGUGAAAACAGCCUUGGUUUAUGUCCAGGUUUCCACCUUCGUUACAUUGCGCAAUGUGGGGUCGACUCACAUGGUGUGAAAAUGGAACUAAUCCUUCAACUAAGGGAAGAGAUGAAAACCAGAAGUGAAGACACAAGAUCUUUCAAAAGGUCUGGGGAGCCUCAGGAACCUGGCAAAUGCUGUAUCCAGUGAGCAGUGGAAGGUGCUUCACUUUAUAGAUCAUGAGGUAAAGUUUCUGCACUUCUUUGGUGGAGAAAUCUUGUUUAAUGUAAAAUAAUUCUAAUAAGACCUCCCUUGAAUGGGGGCAGGUCAGAAUCGUUAAGCAUUACGAACUUCAUUUUUGUUCAAAUUAACAGGGAGAACAUCUGCAGUUCAGGAGCAAAGACUGCAGUGUGUUCAUGUUAAUGGUAGUUUCAGGAAUCUUUAGGUACUGCCUGUAAUUUUAUGUGCAUUUCUCUUCGUAUUUAAUUAAACAAAAACUUGCAUUGCCGUAUGCACUCCACAUUGCUCCCGCC